GUGUCAGCAGCCGCGGUAAUACGGAAGGGGCUAGCGUUGUUCGGAAUUACUGGGCGUAAAGCGCGCGCAGGCGGCUUGGCGAGUGAGGCGUGAAAGGCCUGGGCUCAACCCGGGAACGGCGCUUCAGACUGCCAGGCUCGAGUUCGGGAGAGGGUGGUGGAAUUCCCAGUGUAGAGGUGAAAUUCGUAGAUAUUGGGAGGAACACCGGUGGCGAAGGCGGCCACCUGGCCCGCAACUGACGCUACAGCGCGAAAGCGUGGGGAGCAAACAGGAUUAGAAACCCCCGUAGUCC
rnacentral:rRNA from 1 species